rnacentral:lncRNA from 10 species
UACUAAUCUGGCAGGCGACUGCAUCAUUCAUUUCUCCAAGCAGCGUCAGGUAUGUCUUGAAUGCCUGCUAUGUGCCAGGCACUGUAUUAGGCCCUAGAGCAGUGACCAAGACAGCCCUGGCUGCAGGGGCUGCCAUCUGCUCAGGGUGCCCGCCAGAUCCCAGCCCCACUCACAGAAGCCCUCCCACCACACUUCCUCCCGAGUCCAGGCUGCCUUGGGGUAGCCCCAAGGACUCCAGGUGGGGAAAGCAGAGGUCAGUAAUAGUCACAACGUGAGUGACAGCAUCACGAGACAAGCCGGUUAACAAUGCCAUCUCUUAGUCAAAGGCACAAUCAAGAUGACACCAGUGGGCUAAAAAUAGCAAGCCCCUCUUUAGAGAGGUAUCGGGUGUAGGGGAAGUCCGCAGACCCUGAGGGGACAAACCUGGCCCACAUCCCGGCUUUGCCUCCGGCACGCUAUGUGACCAAGAGCCAAUCUCACCACCUCUCGGCAGCUCCAGUUUUCUCAACUGUAAAAUGGAGGUAACAAUAUGUCGGCCCCUCUUGCAGAAUUACUUCAAAGAUUAAGCUAACAAUGAGGAAGCUGGACUGAACAGGUGGUCCUCAACCUGUCACCUUUCACUUUGCCAACUAUACUUCCUAAAGGCUCGUUCAGAACCAGCCCUGCCUGGCUCAAGAACUUUCAAUGGCUCCCUAUUGCCUGAAGAGUCAUAGCCAGACAACUGAGCCUUGGAAUGUUCCCACUAAUCAGAUGCUGCCUGUCUGUCUGAAGCUUUCCAGAGCAGCCAAGGCCUUCUUUGAAGCAGAGCCCACAUGCAGCACCUCUCCCGGGUCCCACAGAGCACGGCAGCCAAGAGGGCCAAGGCCCCUGCUAGUGCACUCUCCACCACCCAAGGAUGCCUUGGCCAAGAAAGCUUAGGGGUACAAGGCCUGAAGGUGUACAAGGCCUCACCAGCCUCAGCCCCACCCCACUCCCCUAAAUACUGGAGGGAAAUGUGGGGGUGUUUGUGGUUGGAGAAGCACGCCAUUUCCCAUGGUGCUAUCUGAUGCUGACAUUUUCCACUCCACCCUCAGCUGCUUUGCUAAGCAAUGUGGCUCUGUCUCCUGCCUGAGGAGGGGAGCGGAGAGGGAGCCUGCCCCAGAGGGAGUUCCCAGGAGUGGCCGAGGGUCAUGGUAAUGUCUGGGAACGCCGAAGGGGCAGCAUCGCAGAGCACAAGUGUCACCCUGUGAAUGAGGCGCUGUGUUGCCCCCGUUUUACAGACUAAGAAACUGAGGAUUGCGGACUGAAGCGGUUUACUGGAAGUACAUUUAGACUCUGGGCUCAGGCAUGAAAUCCUGUAUACUUACCACCACCCCACACGACCUCCUGAUGCUGCUUAGGACUGAAAAGAAUUCGGAGAUAUGUACAAGGUAUAGAUCUUCUCCGUCUCCCCUCCC